AUGCAAGUCGAGCGGAAACGAGUUAUCUGAACCUUCGGGGAACGAUAACGGCGUCGAGCGGCGGACGGGUGAGUAAUGCCUAGGAAAUUGCCCUGGUGUGGGGGAUAACCAUUGGAAACGAUGGCUAAUACCGCAUAAUACCUACGGGUCAAAGAGGGGGACCUUCGGGCCUCUCGCGUCAGGAUAUGCCUAGGUGGGAUUAGCUAGUUGGUGAGGUAAUGGCUCACCAAGGCGACGAUCCCUAGCUGGUCUGAGAGGAUGAUCAGCCACACUGGAACUGAGACACGGUCCAGACUCCUACGGGAGGCAGCAGUGGGGAAUAUUGCACAAUGGGCGCAAGCCUGAUGCAGCCAUGCCGCGUGUGUGAAGAAGGCCUUCGGGUUGUAAAGCACUUUCAGUCGUGAGGAAGGUAGUGUAGUUAAUAGCUGCAUUAUUUGACGUUAGCGACAGAAGAAGCACCGGCUAACUCCGUGCCAGCAGCCGCGGUAAUACGGAGGGUGCGAGCGUUAAUCGGAAUUACUGGGCGUAAAGCGCAUGCAGGUGGUUUGUUAAGUCAGAUGUGAAAGCCCGGGGCUCAACCUCGGAAUAGCAUUUGAAACUGGCAGACUAGAGUACUGUAGAGGGGGGUAGAAUUUCAGGUGUAGCGGUGAAAUGCGUAGAGAUCUGAAGGAAUACCGGUGGCGAAGGCGGCCCCCUGGACAGAUACUGACACUCAGAUGCGAAAGCGUGGGGAGCAAACAGGAUUAGAUACCCUGGUAGUCCACGCCGUAAACGAUGUCUACUUGGAGGUUGUGGCCUUGAGCCGUGGCUUUCGGAGCUAACGCGUUAAGUAGACCGCCUGGGGAGUACGGUCGCAAGAUUAAAACUCAAAUGAAUUGACGGGGGCCCGCACAAGCGGUGGAGCAUGUGGUUUAAUUCGAUGCAACGCGAAGAACCUUACCUACUCUUGACAUCCAGAGAACUUUCCAGAGAUGGAUUGGUGCCUUCGGGAACUCUGAGACAGGUGCUGCAUGGCUGUCGUCAGCUCGUGUUGUGAAAUGUUGGGUUAAGUCCCGCAACGAGCGCAACCCUUAUCCUUGUUUGCCAGCAC
rnacentral:rRNA from 1 species